rnacentral:lncRNA from 1 species
GAGGUUGCACGCUCAUUAACUUUAUUAUUAAGCUGACUCGUCAUGGUCUGAGCAGUUGUCAUUGGUAUAAGUCAGGAGGUCCCCUCCUUCAUAAUCUCCAACUGGAAAGAAGUUUAUAAUAAUCAAUCAAAUAUUUCGGCGAUUUACUCAUCAAAACAUGAACUUUCUCUGUUCACAAAUUAAAGGUUUUUUUUCUCCUCACAAUUGAGAAUUAACAAACACAAAACUUAGCACAGCUCAGCCAUCAAACUCCAUAGGAAUUUAUUUGCAGAAGAAUGUAAUGCCACCCCAUUAUACAUUUUUGACAUCAUCUUCCACAGUAACCAUUGAAGAACUAACACUAUACCCAAUUCAGAAUUUGUCCAUCAGCUUCUAUACUACUUCGGUCCUACUUAUUUAAUGGGUUCAAGGCGCACUUCGGAGAAAAUAGUUACAGGGGCUUAAAGCUAAAGCAAAUAUAAUGAAUAGCUUCUAGAAAGGGCACACAAAUUCGGCACUUUCUAAGACCAGAAUGCAAAACUUGCAUAUAUUUUAAACGAAGGAAACCUAUUGAAUUCAAUUUCAGAAAUAGAAGUCCUUUCUUUACAACAGGCACCAGCAAAUGAUUCAAUUUAGCACUAUUCAAUUGAGAUCACCAACAUCGAAAAGCCGUAAGAGAAACUAAAGCAUAUGGAGAAGGCAGAAACAAACAAAUCAAGAACAGAAACUAAAGCAGAAAAACAAGUAAAUAUAAACGGUGAGAUACCACACCAAAUAAAAGGGUCAGAGGGUAUGAUCGAGAAUCCGAGCUCGAAGACAGCCGAACAAAGUAGGGCAUGCAGGCGGCGCACGCCCGAAAGGGAGGUUGAUUUGCCGAUGGCGGUGAAGGAUUAAUUUUGACAAAUUCCGGGAACGAAAUGCAGGAGAAUUAUAUAUUUUAUUUUCUUUCGUUAGAAAUGAAAUACUUGUAAAUGUUACUCAUACUAGUAGUUAGUUGUCGAGGAAUUGUCGAGAAACCCCUCAAGACUUAAAUUCCUAUUUUUUUUUUUUCUCAUUCUUUUUUGGGUUGGAGAAUAGCUAAAUGGGUGAGCUAAGGUAGGGGCAAGUGCACAGCCAGCCACUAAUAAGACAUGUAUUUACUUCAAUUUACUAUUUAAAAUAUCUUUAGUCUUUAGUCGCUGCUUUAAUGAACAUUUUUCUGCCGGACGAAAAUACCCUUCUACUCAUAAAGUUCACGACCAAUUGUCCUUAACUUAUGAGCUUGUUGCUUUAAGUUCAGGACUGUUGUCUAUAAUUUAUAAGUUUAAGUUUAGGAUUACCUGUCCUUAACUUUUGAACUUGUGGCUCUAAGUUCAGCUACAAGUUCAGGACUACAUGUCAUCAACUUUUGAACUUGGAACUCGAACUUAAGGACUACCUGCCCUUAAUUUAUGUGUUUGUAACUCUAGUUUAAGGACCAAGUGUCCUUAAAGUGUCCUUAACUUAUGAGCUUGUUACUGUAAAUUCAGAUGUCCUUAACUUUUGAACUUGGAAUUCGAAGUUGAGAACUACAUGUCCUUAAUUUUUGUGCUUGUAACUCUAAGUUAAGGAUUGCAUAUCCUUAAUUUCUGUACUUGUAACUCUAAGUUAAGGACCAAGUGUCCUUAAUUUUUGAACUUCCAACUCUAAGUUCAGGACCAACUCUAGUUUACUUUUAAAAGAAACAUAGAUUUAAAUGGUUGCACAACCCUAAGUGAAAGUUAAUUAAUAAAGGGUUUAAUGUUGUUUUUUUUGGGUUGAUGUAUUAUACAAGAAUUAAAUAAGAAGGAUGUAUAAAGGACGAGAGGAAGAACGAGAAACCCGCAACAUCUUGCUAACGUUACUAGCACCAAACACCUUGUGAACAAUGGCAAACUUGUGGGAUCAUCGGGAGGAAAAUAAGGAGCAAAGAUACAGUCUUCGGCACAAUGACGCCUUAAUAAUUUGCAGGAAGCCCAAGGAGAAACUAAUAUGCAUUUCCGUUUAGGAAGGAAAAGAGAUAGAAGAAAGGGAAACAUCAUCUUUUCAUAUUAAUUUUAACAUACUAGGGGCUACUUUUGCUCAGCAUUAAAAAUGAUGGAUAAAAAGUAAAUACCACUUUAAGAAAUGACUAUCCCACGCAAUUUUUACAUUAAGGUACAUGGGGCCUUUUUAAUAUUUUCAAAAUUUUGUGGGUCACCAUAAGGUUUGAAAAAUAAUAUUUCUUUCUUAUUUUUCUGCCAAUUUCUCUCUUAUCUCUUUACUUUUUCUUCUCUCUCACUCAACCCCUCGACAACAGUGGUUUCCAGCAGGAAGUGAUAAAAAUCAAGCUUCGAUUUUGGGUGGAAUCAUCUAUAUAAAUCCAACAAGCAUUGUAUUGUUACUCGAAACGUGUCAAUUUUGGUUAAUCCAAGAUUCUUUUUUUUCUUUUGUUUCUUAUAUUUGUGAUUUCGGGUUUUGUAGAGAGAUUCAUUCAUGUGCAUGUUCAAAGUCGAUUUGGUUGUGUAUAACUAUAUAUUAUGCAUGGGUAGUUAUAUUUGCUUCUUGAACUACCUUUAUGCUUUGGUCGCACUGACGACUUAAUGUUUAUUGAUAAACCUGUGGUCGAUUGUCUUCUAGUCAUACAUGCUUGCUAUAAUUUGGGGCUUAUUUUUCUUAUUCUGAUCACAACUUUUAAAUUAUUAAAUGUGACAUUGCAUAUUUGGAUGUAGGUAACAUGAGGAAAACAACAAUUGCUAAGAAGCAUAUUCCUUCGACAAAGAAGGCAAUUGCACAACCUUCAAACAGGAAAGGAAAUGCAGAAACACAAGAAGCAUCGUUGUCACACCUCUUUUUUUCCGCGGGGAUAGGGAAAUUUUUCCAAUUAAAGUGACAUGAAUCAAAAUGGGAUUACUUACUUAAUUUCAGAGUUGCCACUUGGAAUAAUUUAUGGUAUCCCAAGUCACAGGUUUAUUUUAAAAUCUCAAUCGAGAAACUUUUACUCUAUUUAUGUUUGCUCACACAGAAGACGGGUAAGGAAUUCUGUUAAUCCGGAAAAAGGUGUGAGGUACUCCCGAGUUCCGUGGUUUUAGCACGGCAAUUCAACUAUUAAUAAUUGGCCUAAUUAUCUAAUUUAUUUACAUGUUUAAAACCUACUGUGCAUUUUAUUACUUCUAUGCCCCUUUUAAUUAUUUUAAUUGCUUUUAGGAUUUAUGGAUUAUUUCUAAACGAGUUACGAUGGCGUACACUUGUCGUUUUAGUACAUAUUGAAAAUCGUGCCACGUGAAACAUACCUGUAAUUCACGACAUGUUUAUUUUUAGUAUUAUUUGAAGUUAUGGUCAAGUCACGUGAAAUGCACAUUCCAAUUGAGAAUUAUAUAUCGCGACCAUGAUACGUGAAUCGUACCCAUAGUCGCAAUAAUUUUUUUAUUUUUCAUACCUAAAGCAAGCUACGAUGUUCAUAAGUUGUUCUUCCUACUUUGAGAUUAUUGUGAAGGCCAAGGUUAUGAAAAUUAUUGUAAAAAAACAUAUAGAUUAGUUAUAAAAAGAUGAAGUAGCUUAUGAAUUUUAUUAACUCUUGGCCCACUAGACUUGAACUAUCUAAGUCUAACCGGCCCAAAAGAAUCCUCGUGCUUCAACCACCGCACGGUCCAACUGCCGAUUUAAAACAAAAGGCUUCAAAUGAUGCUAGAGUAACUAUCUACUAACUGAGUGCAUAAAGAAAAUUAACGAUUACGCCAAACAAAUAAGGAAAGAAUCAUUCAUUUAAGGCUAAGAUGAGAGGUGUUAUACAAUUGAUCAAAUGACUAAAGCAAAGGUUCAAAAACAAAUUUGAACAGCAUCCAAACAACACUGUAUUCCAGCCAUAUGAUGAAAAGCGCCUAAACAAGUCAUGUACAUGAGGCAACUUCAUAAAACAUUUUACAAGUUAAAGAAAAGGAAGAAAUCACUUCUGUGCAGAAAGUUUCGAGAUACAAAGUGUUAUGACAGUAUCUAAAUCCAACUUUAUACUCAAAUAGAUAUGACAUGCAAAUCAAUAACAGUGAUCACUAGUUCAACAGAGAAUAACUUCUAAAAUCCGAAAUCCUUUUUCAUAAAAACACGAGUGAUCCAAAUCAAUUUAGAGAGUCAAAAUCGAGAAGAAUACCUUGCUGCGAUAGAGAGAGGCGAUGAUCAGAAAUAAAUCUGGAGCCCAGCAAAGAAGUGAAUCAGCAGUGCUCGGCAGUAAUUUAAGAGUUCAAUAACUCUUGUAUCCCAGAGAUUAACCCACAAAUUAAUAGAAAACUGUAAGCUCUAAAACGGCAAGAAAUUUGAGAUUAAGCACUUCACUUCCAAGCAAGAUUCAAACACGAUUUGCUUUCCUUUCUUCAAUGAGAAUUUCUCCAAGUCUUUGCUAUUUCGGUUUUCUUCUCUUUUUAGAUUUCAGAGGAUUUUCUUUUCCAUUUUUUAGCCGUUUGUGUGAGAGUGAGGAUUGACGGCUGCUAGUUCUUCAGAUAGGAGCAAACCCAAGAAACUCCGGUUGAUAUGGG